GCAGCACAGAGAAAAGGACAUCACUGGAGGACUGGGACAGAAUAAUUCAGAGAGGAUCCGCAAAUGGAAGCCACUCGAAGUCAAAUGAAUAGUCGAGGACUUCAUAAAUGUAGAGGGAAGGGACCAGCACAGAACCAUAAAUACUCCCAUCAUAUAAAUCAAUAUAUUCAUUUAUUUUUAUUAACCACUGAUCCUGCAAGAUUAGCAGUGACCUGGAGCCUAAACCAACAGGCACUGUGCCCAAGGCAGGACUACACCUUGGAUGGGACACCAGUCCAUCACAGGGGUGGGAGAGGAGGUCCAUAUCAACUAGCCUGUACAGCAUAUCAUUGGGAGGGAAGAGAAAACUGGAGCACCCAGAGAAAACCCACCUGGACAAGUGGAGGACACUCAAACUCCGCAUAGAAAGCACCCCAGUCCAGAAUGAAACCUGGGGCCCAAGAGCUCCAAGGCAACAGUGGGAGUCAAUGGUGCCCACAAGCAUGGCUAUAUUUUCCUUCUUCAUUCACAAGUAGUUGUAUCCAAAGCAAUGUUUUUAAAUUCUAUCUUUCAUUAUGCCCUUUUCAGAACUGCUUGAAUUUUUAUUCAAUAUUUUUUAUGAGCAAAGAAAUGUUUGCUUUAGGAAUGGAAGAGUCCAGCUGUGUAUUAGCAUAAAGCAUCAACUAUGAUAAACGGUGUUAACAUAAAACUUAAAUGUGUAGCUGUUUCAUUAUGCUAUAUAAUAUAAUAGAAAUAACCUCUCUAAUGCAAUAAUACAGUAUACGAUUCAUUGUGUGAGUUAAUUCUUUAACUAAUUCUUAUUAGUUAAAACUCCCAAAUUUUUCCAAAACAUGUAAGUUAGUCUUAUCUAAAAUCUCUGCAAAAUGUGAAUAUUAAUACUGCUAAAACACUGUGAAGCUCCUUUAAAUACUGCCUUUGGAAUGAGAUUCUUUCUGAUUCAAAUGGCUUUGUUAACCUUUAGAUUGCAGUGUUGCAGAAAAAAAAUAUUUCGUUUCUCUCCAUCACCCAUGAGAAUCCGUCCGUUUGCUCACUACACUGCAUGGGGAAUCAAUAUUGUGCAUAUCAAUGAGUUCACUUAUGCUAGAUAU